GCCCGCAUGGCUCAGUGGUAGAGCGCAUCACUAGUAAUGGUUCCUUGCGAAGUUAACUGGGUCAAUGAUGAGGUCGUCAGUUCGAUUCUGGCUGUGGGCA